GCUAGUAAUCGCAGAUCAGAAUGCUGCGGUGAAUACGUUCCCGGGUCUUGUACACACCGCCCGUCACACCAUUGGGAGUCAGUAACGCCCGAAGUCUGUGACCCAACCGCAAGGAGGGAGCAGCCGAAGGCAGGUCGGAUGACUGGGGUGAAGUCGUAACAAGGUACC
rnacentral:rRNA from 1 species